ACUAUUUAAUGACUUGAAUCAAAUGUCUGGAUCCAUCGGAAUCGUUUCCGUCUCUUUUAAAUUGUUCCAGAACGCGUAGGCUUCAUCGAUAAGAAUUCUUUGCAAUACGAGCUUAAAUAUGCCUAAUUUUUCCGUAAUAUCCUUACAUAUUCUUUCUUUUUAACUGCAAAAGUGAUUGAAACUGCCCAACUUAAUCCUUAAUCAUAACCAAAACAAUUAUCCUUGUUCUCAUCAUUGUCGUCAUCUUCGUCACCAUCAGUGAUUUUGGUUAAAUGACAUAGUGCUUUAUUGGGAGUGCCCAAAUCUUAAUUUCCUUAUCUUAAACUGAAAGACAUGACCAAAAAUCAAAAGUUUUCUGAUGUGAUGUCGUUGAAGCUGUGCGAGGAAUCCGGCAUCGGCACAUAGAUGAUAUUAUAACAAGAAGUUUCCAAAUUAAGCAAGAUUUCAAUGAUAUAUAAAAAUAGUUAAAUUCAAA